GUGUUCAAUGAUGAUUUCUGAUGCUUUGCCUGAUUUUCUUUUGAAUAAUGAGGGCAUCUUCAGUCACUACCUCUUCUGAGACAC
ensembl:snoRNA